rnacentral:rRNA from 1 species
UACGUAGGGUGCGAGCGUUGAUCGGAAGUACUGGGCGUAAAGCGUGCGCAGGCGGUUAUGUAAGACAGGGGUGAAAACCCCGGGCUCAACCUGGGAACUGCCUUUGUGACUGCAUGACUAGAGUACGGCAGAGGGGGAUGGAAUUGCGCGUGUAGCAGUGAAAUGCGUAGAUAUGCGGAGGAACACCGAUGGCGAAGGCAAUCCCCUGGGCGUGUACUGACGGUCAUGCACGAAAGCGUUGGGAGCAAACAGG